rnacentral:rRNA from 1 species
UACGUAGGGUGCGAGCGUUAAUCGGAAUUACUGGGCGUAGAGCGUGCGCAGGCGGUUCGUUGUGUCGGCGGGGAAAGCCCCGGGCUUAACCUGGGAAUGGCCGUUGAAACUGGCGAACUGGAGUGUGGCAGAGGGGGGUGGAAUUCCGCGUGUAGCAGUGAAAUGCGUAGAGAUGCGGAGGAACACCGAUGGCGAAGGCAGCCCCCUGGGCUAACACUGACGCUCAGGCACGAAAGCGUGGGGAGCAAACAGG